GCCAAGUGUUUGUGAAGAACAGCAAGUGACUGUGGUUGGACUUGCACACCCAUGUGUUUGGGCAUUCACACACAUUGUCAAGCUCUGCAAACAAGGCUGUACUGGCUCAAGUUGGUGUGUGAGCUAUGAAAGAAGGUCCUCUUUUCCAUCUUCUAAUUCCUGUGGAUCUGUCCUGUAGCCUUUCCAUGCUAUCCUCAGGCUCAUCUGUUUUCUGAAGAUGGGGAAAAGCCCUUUGGA
rnacentral:sRNA from 1 species